CACAAGGAUCGCUCUUCCAUAAUAAUAAAAGAUGAUGAUUACGAAAAUUAUAAUUCCUAUAAAACCAAUCCUCCAGUGCUAAAUUUCUAUGAAUGUCCGUUGAUUGUGAAAUAAAGACUGAUUUUUGUAUUUCAUCCUCAGGUAUCAGGACCGACCUCCUUUUGGAAAAAUUGUCUUGAUCACUUCCUUUUUUUUGUCACUUUAUUGACAAAAACAAGAA